GCGCAGCAGUCGCGAAAACUUUACAAUGUGCGAAAGCACGAUAAGGGAACUCUGAGUGCCUCCUAAGGAGGCUGUUCAGGUGUCUAAAAAGCACCUGGAGUAAGGGCUGGGUAAGACCGGUGCCAGCCGCCGCGGUAACACCGGCAGCCCAGGUGGUAGCCACUUUUAUUGGGUCUAAAGCGUCCGUAGCCGGUUGAGUAAGCUCCUUGGGAAAUUUGGCUGCUCAACAGUCAAGCUUCCAGGGAAUACUGCUCGACUUGGGGACUGGGAGAGGUCAGAGGUACUCCAGGGGUAGGGGUGAAAAUCCAUUAAUCCCUGGGGGACCACCGGUAGCGAAGGCGUCUGACCAGACCAGGUCCGACGGUGAGGGACGAAGGCUAGGGUCGCGAACCGGAUUAGAUA
rnacentral:rRNA from 1 species